ensembl:lncRNA
AGUUGCUGUGACACCUUGGUCCUACAUCCACAGUGGUGCCUUUUUUUACUUAAAACUGCUGCUUGCGGCCUCGGCUUCUGCAAAUGCGGCCACUAUGACGUCUUCCAUACCUAAGGACCUCCGAACAUCUCUUUCUAUUGAAAUCAGUGGCAGUCCUCUCCUGGCACAUGGUUCACCUCAAGUAGGGUUUGAUCAACUCGGAAGCAGAAAAGCUCCUCUAGACAUCUUCCAGUUUUAAGAAUCCGUCAUUCAGGCUUCUAAGGGUCUGCUUAGAGUCUGUGUCUACUAAAGGGAGAAGGAACUCCCUUCUGAAGGACUCUCGUGGACUGGACUGGGUUUCUGCUGCUCCCUCGUGCUGUUGCCUUUUCUCUCGGAGCUCCAUUUCAAUUUCCAGUUCUGCUGCAAGUUCUACAGCAUCAGCUUGACAUGAAGCAAGCCCACUGUCCCUGUUUUCCAGCUACUGCCUCGCUCACCGUGUGUCUGUGGUUUCCAGAGAAACAUCUUGACUUUGCAGCAGCUUGCUCACGAGGGGAACCUGGAACAAGCUCAGAGAGAUGUGUCCACUAUGAGGGGCCCCGUUAGGGAGAUUCCCCACGUGUCAUCGCGGUGUCCCGGAGAGCUUAAGUCUGGGCUACAAAGCCACAUAUACCAUUUGAACUUGUAAAGCAAACGGCAAAAUAUGUCCACCCUGUCGUGGACAAAUUCAAAGCAGAGUAAAUACAUUGUAAAUACAUAGUGAUUCUAAAAUGUACAUUUUCAGAAAGCUAUUGGGUCCCUUUGUCAAUAUAUUUUAGUUAAUGGGAAAAGUAUUUGGAAAAUAAUGAAAUUAUGGCAAACUAUUUGUUUCUCUAUAAAAUCUGCGUUGCACUUUCUUUUCUAAAUAAAAUCUAACAGCAAAGAUAUCUGGUCAAACUUUCAAACUAAACGGUUUGGUCCGCAUUUGUUUAUAAAGGAAUCACACAAAAGGUUUUGCCAACUUGUGAAAAUAAUUACUUUAUUUUCAUAAAACAUGAAAAUGGAGUGGACAAUAACAUGACAGGGUGGACACGUUGUGAAAUGUCUUUGAAUGACCUCAUAAAUGCAAUAAAUCUAAAGGAAUUUAUGUCACAGGUCCUUUUCCCAUGUAGGGGGAAAUUACCAGUUGAACAGACUGGUCUUGAUCUGAAUAAAGAUUCCCAAAAUGAGCCAUUAAUGUGGAUAAUGCAGUGGUAAACUUUGUACAUCAACAGAACUGAGACCAAACAGCCAGCAUUCCACCCUGAUUACAGCGAUAUCCGUAAAACACGCAGCACCCGAAUCACAAUAUCUCUUUCUCUGCCCUUUCUUAACAAAAUCUAUUAUUCCCGGGAUUUUUCAAAGACGUUGUGUGUCUCAUAACCAUUCGUUUCGUUUCGGGAUCCGAUUUCUCGGCCCGUGGGGGGGGAACCUUCCGCACGUCGUCUCCUCUCACUGGCUGAGGAAGCCGGUGCUCCUCCCAUCUGUGUUUGCCGCCAUUCCAUUGGCUGUGACGAGUGCAACCAGGGAAUGGACGGAACAUUGUCACGAUCCACUGAGAUGUGGAAAAGAUCUCAUGUGAGGCCUCCACCAAAACCUCCCUAGAUUUGUUCAGUUUCACUCAAACUGUUCACACGGGGAAGUUGGGCAGGCGGAACGGGGGCGCCCAGUCACGGCCAAAGUGACCAAUGCGGUUGACGAAUGAGUCUUAACGAGGAUGCAGCCGACAACAUUAGACACAGCUAUUGGGCCUUUAAUCAGUGCAGGAAGUUUGGAUUCCUGUUUCACUGUGUAGUUUCAUGAUAAAAGCUUCCGUGAACGAACCCUGUGAUCAAAUCACAUUGUAGACGUCUUGUGGGACAUUUCUAGGGCUUUGACUUGCAUCGCUGCUUGUGGGAACAAAACAUUACCACGGCAACAGGGACAAGAGCCCCACGCACCGUCAAAACCAGCACACGCAUGCAAAAAAUGGGGGCAGCACGGCCAUGAAGACCGGAUCCCAUGUGUUGCUAGUGGUGCUGAUGGCGUUCCACUCCCCUGAGGACCCUCUGCCACGCCCACCUGCAGGCACGCCAGCCACACACACACACACACCUUCAGCAGGGGUUAAAGGGCAGGAACAAUAAACAAUGAGAUAUAGUCUCCCAGUUGACCUCCUGUGACCUCAUCGCCGUCACCUUGAUGAUGUCACUGGAGACAUAGUUUUGGUUUUGGUUUGACUAGACUUUAAACUGACUCUUCUUCUACAAGAAGCGCUGUACCUGUUCAGGUAAGAAGGGUUCUACUCGGGUUAGAAGGGUUCUACUCGGGUUAGAAGGGUUCUACCCAGGUUAGAAGGGUUCUACUCAGAUAAUUCUAAAGAUUUUUGAAAUCUUUCUGAUUUGAAUGUGCUUUCAUCAGUUUUGAAAGCAGUGGAAAGCAGUAGAUUGUGUUAGCAUAUGAAAAAUAUCCUGCAGAUGUACAGUUUUUGCAGUUUGUGGAGUAUGAAUGACGAAAGUGUUUGUGGAUUUUGUCUGAAAGCAAUGAAAAAUUAUUUAAAGUUAGGUCUGUAUACACUCGCUGAAUGUGUGAAGAGUUUUGAAAAUGUGGUUUGAGUAUUGAACAAUGCUUGUUAGCAAUUGAAAAAACAUAUGAAAUAAAUAAUCAAUAACAUCUGAAUGCGAACACAACAUUUAAAUAACAGAAAAACCAACAUAAUUGAAAUGUGUACAUUUUUCAGAAUGAUAAAUGACAAAAAGAAUGAUAAAAAUGCAACUAAGCAAAAAAACAAACAAACAAGGAAUUGAAGUGGAAAGGAAGAAGUUGCUGUGACACCUUGGUCCUACAUCCACAGUGGUGCCUUUUUUUACGUAAAACUGCUGCUUGCGGCCUCGGCUUCUGCAAAUACGGCCACUAUGACGU